AUAAAUCGAGCCCUCAAGGCCUUAGAAACACUUUAAAAAUAAUUCGGGACUAAAUUAGAAACAUUUAGAAAUUUAUAGAUAAAGAUAGAAAAUUUUACACUGCAGGAGUCAUACGGCCGUGUCCCAACCCUUGUCCGUGCCCAUGUAACUCUCUGACUUGGGUCACACGACCAAGCCACACACCCGUGUGCCAGGCCGUGUAACUUUCGAAAUGGCCUCACACGCUCGUGUGCUAGGCCGUGUGCUAGGCCGUGUAACUGCCUGACUUGCAACGUUUUGAAACCUACAGGGGACACACGACCGUGUCGCAUUGCCGUGUGUCACACGCCCGUGUCUUAGCCCGUAUGGACAAGAAAUAGGCCAAUUUCAAGCCAUUUCCUUCACCCUAAUCAAGCCUGAUCCCAUAAACCAAUUGCACAUAUAUUCAAACCUUGAAAACAUACCUAAAACAUGUACAGCAAUAACUAAAUCAUUACACCAUUUAUCCGUACAACCAAUAUGCUAAAGGCACCUCAAUCACAAAUCAUCAAAUCAACCAAAACAUAAACAUAUUUGGGCAUAAAUCAACCACACACAACUACCUAUUUUCAUACCAAGCCAUAGCACAAUUGACCAUCUGUCAAACCACAACUCAACAUACCAAAUUGGUCAUUCAAAACAUAAAUUCACUUGACCAUCUCAACACAACCAUCAACGCAUUAAAAUGCCAAAAGUUCAUCAACCAUAAUACCACAUUUACAAGCCAAACAUAAUGACCAUUUCAUUAAACAUAAUUCACCUAUUCAUGUCAUUAUAACCAUGACUCAAAACAUCAAAACCUAUCGAUAUAGUCAUUGGAUAGUGUGAUAAGUCUCCGACGAACUUCCAAACCAAUCGAUCUUCCGAUAAUCUAUAAAAUAUAGGAAAGAAAACGACGUAAGAAUAUAAUGUUUAGUAAAUUCGUAAAUCAUGAACAAUACUUACCAUUUCAAUGCAUAAUCCUAAACAUAGACAUGAAUCAAUCCAGCACAAGCUUGGCACAAGCCUAAGCAUCACCAACAGAAGUUAGUGCUUAAUCACAUAACUUAGCCAAAUUCAUCACAUGGUAAGAUAAAUCUCAUAAUCAUAAUACAUAUGAAUUCAUACAUUUCAUAAAAUGGCUAUACAUACUUUGAUCAUCAAUACUUCAUACCUUUCCAUAAUUUCAUAGUGUAAAUCAUUUGGAACCUUUACCGGUCCAUCCCUUUACAUGCCCAUUGAACCACUUAGAAUAAUAUCAAAUACACGGGAAGCUCACACAAAAUGUACUAAUACAUGGUCAAAACCAUUCCUUUCAUUUUCUUUUACGUAAUCACUCAUACGAGCCAUAAAUGGGUCUGAUCACACAAGCUAACGGUCAAAAUGUAGCUACACGAUGCCGUUAUCACAAGCUGAUGAGUAUCUGCAACAAAUGCCUGAACUCAGCCAUCAGUAAGACGUUCAAAACCAGCACCCGAAACAUGGUAACCCUAAUGACAUGUCAUUUGUAUCCUACAUAUUCCUAAGGUUCAAACGAGGCCCAUUAUUCGUCGUAAUGUCAUUGGAUUUUCCGUCGAAACAUAAUAUGAUAAAUAACAUAAUAGAAUUUAAAUCAAAUACAUUCAAGUUAUUUAAACUUACAAACUUAUUUCGAUCACAAAAACGAUGAAAUAGGACCGAUUAGUCCGACACUUUAUCUUUCCCUCGAUCUAAGUCCGUACGAGGCUUAACUUGAUCUAAAUAAUCAAAUUCAAUCCAUUCAAUAUUCAUUCUAUUCAAUUAAGUUCAAAAAUCAUACUUUUCAAAAUUAUGCUUUUUCCCCUAUUGUUUUAAUUCCUUUACAAUUCAGUCCUUAAGCCCGUAAAUUGAAAUUCAUGCAAUUUCAUCCACAUACAAAGCUAGUUGAAUUCCAUAUACCCUCAUAGCAACUCAUACAAUUCAUUAUUUCUCAAUUUCACUUUGUAUUUUACACAUUUUACAAAUAAAUCCCUAAUUGACAUUUUCAACAAAAAUCACUUUACAAAAGUUAUUUAUUAAUCAACUAAGAUUCAUUUUCUUUCAUAAAAAAUCAAAAACCACAUGUAUUCAUUCAUGGCAAAACCCUAACCUUUUAACAAUUUUACAAAUUAGUUCAUGGGAUAGCUAAAUUAAGUUACAACAAUUUCAAAAAUAUAAAAAUCAUUAAGAACGGGACAAAAAUCACUUACAUGCAAGAUAGAAAUUGAACCGAAUACUUCAAAGCCCUAAAAUGUUUUCUUUCUUCUGCACUUCCGGUGGAACAAACUAAGGUUUGAAGAUGAUACAACCAUUUUCUUACUUUAAUUAUGAUAUAUUUAUUUACUUAUUUAACCUUAUUAUUAACCUUGCAAAACACCUAUUUAGUGUCCAUAAAUGUCCACUCAAUAUAAAAUAAUCUAAUUACCAUUUAAAUUCCUUAAUCAAUUAAUUUUAUUGUCAUUUGGUACCUUUAACUUAUAUAACUCAAAUUUCGCACUUUUUACUAUUUAGUCCUUUUUACUAAAUUAAGCAUGCAAACGAUAAAAUUUCUUAAAAUAAUAAUAAAAUAAUUAUUUUUAUUAUUGAAUUUGUGGUCCCAAAACUACUAUUCUGAUUUCACUAAAAAUAGGUUGUUACACCUUCUUACACUUGAAAAAGGUUGCGGUAGGUGUUGUUGGAGGGUGGGUUUGGGGGAGAAGAUAUCUAUUACCGAUGAUGCCUAGAUACCAGGGAGUGUUAAUUAUAGGUUACUUUUCGAUGUUCAUAGUAUGCCUAAUUUGAAGGUGUCAGAAUUAAUUGAUGCAAAUCAAAGAACAUGGAAAAGGGAACAGAUUCUUAAUACCUUCUCGUCGGUGGACGCCCAAAGAAUUUUUUGUAUCCUAUUGGCGAUUGAGGCCCAAGAGGAUAUGCUUGCGUGGGGUGGGGAAGCCUCGGGGGAGUUCCCUGUCCGUAGCGCUUAUAAAGUAUUAUAGAGGAAUCCUAUGGAACCUAAUGCUUAUGCUUUACAAGUCGAAACUAGUGAUUUCUAAAAAAAGCUAUAGGGCCUUAACCUCCUUGGGAAAAUUAAAAUUACAAUUUGGAGGUGCUCUUCGAACUAUCUACCUACUUUGGCUAAUAUGAAAUACAAAAAAUUGGUUAAUACAGCUUGUUGUCCUCGUUGUGGAAGGGCAGAAGAAAAUAUUGAUCACCUCUUUCGAAUAUGUGUUGUUUCAGUGGAGGUUUGGUCAGAGUUUAUACUCUUUCAUAUUCUCAAUAAUUUGGAUCUAGCAUUUGAUCAGUGGUUUACUCGAGCUUUUGGGGUGAGCUCUACUCUUCAACGGUGUCUUCUUUGUUGUGCACUUUGGGUAAUUUGGCGUGAUAGAAAUACCAGAGUCCAUGAAAGAAAGUUUGUAUCUGAGAAAUCUAUAGCCGGGUUAGAUGUCAGUUACAUUUCUUAAUUAAAUGAGCUUGAGAUGAGAACACUUACCAAGGCAAAAGAGGCGGUAGAAUGGAAGCAACCCAUGGGAACUAUCAUCAAAAUUAAUUUCGAUGGAACUUAUGACAGACAGAGGAAUAGGUCGGCCUCAUGUAUUGUUGCGAGAGAUGCUGAGAGGGAAGUACUGGUUUCAAAGUCGGAGAACCACGAGGGGUUUCCCCCAGCUUUCGCUGCUGAAGCCAUCGCUAGUCAUCGAGCGAUGCGAUUGGGGUUAGAGAACGGGUGGUAGGAGGUAGAAGUCGAGGAGAUGAAUUAACCAUUAUUCAAAAAUUUCAAUCCCAAUAUCAAGAUAAAUCACAUAUAGGGGCUUACAUUCAGAAUUUUCAUCAGCUAAAAGGAUGUUUUCAAGCAAUCACUUUCAAACAUGUUCCUAGAUCGACUAAUGGACUAGCCCAUACUUUUGCAAUAGAAUCUUUGAAAAGGAGUGAAGAGUUUUACCUGGUGGGGAGUGUUUCAUCCUUUGCAAGAAGUCAUUUUGCUGCGAAGAAGACGAGGGAACCAAAUUAAGGAAGGGCAAACUGUUUAGGAAGUCUUUUGGGAGGAAAGUUGUAUUCUGAGUAGUUUUGGCGAAGAUAGAGGCUUUUUCUGAUAAUGAAACUGUUUAGAAAUGGAGAGUGAUUGAUUGUUGUUAGGAUGAGCAUCUAGAAGGUUUUUGAUUGGGCAACGAAACGGUGGUGCACAUCUUUUAGUAUUUCUUUAUUUUUUCUCCUUAUUUUUCUUUUUUGUUAUUAGUUUUGGAUAGGUUUUGGGCCCAUAUUUGGGUUGUCGAUUGUUUUGUGUUUGGCUACUGUUGGACUUGGUGUUUGUCAUGUUUUU
rnacentral:lncRNA from 1 species